UUAUACCUUUUUCCCCUAAUUUCUCCAUUACUUCCUUUUUGUGUGAAAUUUUAUUCUCUAGUGUGCUGUUUUAAUUCCUUGUUUCUUUUUCAUUUUCUCUUUUAGUUUUUUUUCUCUUAGCUGUUUCCCUGGAUUUUACAAUUUAUAAUAACAUAGUCUGAAUGAAUACCAACUUAACUGAUGUAACAUAUAAAAAUUCUGACCUUGUAGAGCUCCAGAUCUUUAGUUCUUAUAUUUUCACCUUUAUGCAUCAUGAACCCGUUAUCACAGAGAUGUAAUUGUUGUUUUAUGAGUUUCCUUUUAAAUAACAUGAGGAAGAAGGACUUAUAAACUGAUAAUUGCAAUAUUGCUGGCUUUUAUAUUUACAUUCAUAUACUUGCCAUUCUUUUUUAUGCGUAUGGCUUUAUGUUAUCUAAUUGCUAUUCAUUUCAUCCUGAUAAAGUUCCUUUAGCAUUUCUUGUAGGAUAUUUGUACUACUUAUGGACCUGGUCAGCUUUUGUUUAUCCAGGCAUAUCUUAACUUCUGUUUUAUUCCUUCAGAAUAGUUUUAUUCAAUAUAGAAUUCAUGGUGGACCUUUUCCCUCCAAGCACUUUACAUGCAAGCAUGUUAUCCCACUGCUUACUGGCCUCCAUAGUUUCUGAUCAGAAACCUGUUGUCAGUCUUUAAUGAGUAUCCCUUUUAUGUGACAAGUCACUUCUCUCUUGCUCCUUUCAAGAUUCUGUCUUGGGAAGUAUUUCUUAGUGUGGAUCUUUUUGUGUUUUAUUUUGGUUAGUUUUUAUUGAGCUUUUUGCAUAUGUAUAUUAAUUUCUUUUAUCAGAAUUGUCAGCCAUUUCUUCAUAUAUUCUCUCUUCCUGCUCCUUCUCUCUUUUUGAGCUAACACUUUUGUUAUGUUGGUGUACUUAGUGUUUUGUGGGUCUCAAGUUCUGUUUAUUUCUCUUCACUCCUUUUCCUGUCUGCUUCCUUAGGAGAGAUAACCUCAGUUAAAUCUGUCUCUAAAUUCACUGAUUCUUCUUUCUUCAAAUCUGCUGUCAAAUCUGUCAGUGAAUUUUCCUCUAGAAUUUACAUGUGGCUCAUUUUUUUUAAUUUCUCUCUUUAUUGAUUGUUUAUUUUGCAAAUUGCUAUUCCCGCUUCCUAGUUUUUAGUUCUUUGUGGUUUUCUUUAAUUCUUUGAAUAUAUUUAAUAUUAUUUAUUUAAUAUCUUUGUAAAGAUUGAUAUCUGGAUUUUUUCCUUUAUAUAGGCUGUAUUAUCCUAUUUCUUUGCAUGUCUUCAAAAAUUAUAUUGAGAACUGGAUUUGGAUAUUACAGUGUGACAACUCUGGAAAUUAUAUUCUCCAUUUCCAUGAGGUUUGCUAUUGCUGUUUGUAGUGUGAUAUUUUAGUGAGCUUCCUGAACUAUAUUUUGAAAUCUGCAUUUUCUAUAUUGCCACUGACAUCUUUAACUUUUAGUGGUCCUUUAACUUAGUGGUUAAUUAGUGUGAUGAUAGAAUUUCUUGAAAUGCCUGAAGACAGAAAAAAAGAGAGUGGAGGGGAGGGAAGGAAAGAAGAAAGGAAGAAAAGAAAGAAAAAAAGCAAAUACAGAAAGGUAGAGGGAAAAAUCUGAGGGAAAAAAUACCUUCCCCAUUUGCAGAUUGGCUCUGUGUGCAGGUGUGUUUUUCAUACGCAGCCAAGAUGUUUGUAACUAUGUCUUAACUUUGACUUCUUGCUUGCAUGGAUCCUUAAUGUCAGCCAGAGUUGAGUGCUUCAGAUAUUCUUAAGUCUUCAUGAGUUUUCUAGGUCAUUCCUUUGGCCUUUUGAUGCCUUUGUAUAUAAAGGAACUUUUAUAAGCUUUUGUUUACCUCAUAUCUCCUUUCCCAGUUUGUUCCUUUUAUUGUAUUUCAUUCUGUGUAUCUCGUCCUGACUGUUGUCCAUUGCUCUAGGCUGCUGUGACCCAUACUUGCUCUUAAAGAUGUGUUGAGUAAAUGCUGUGUAAGAAUUGUCCCAGCUCUGGGAUGGCUCAAGUUUUCUGAAAAAAAAAAAAAAGUCAGACUCAUGCUACAGUUCUUCAGGGAGUUACAAGAUAGGUCUAAACGGAACAGCUCUUUGAGAAUGAAGCACAUGUUGAUUCCCCCUGGAAGUAGCAACCUGCACCAGUGUGGGGAGCAACUCGGACUAGACUGUUACUGGAAUUAAGACUUAUUCUAUGCAUCUGCUCUCCCACAAUAUGGCGCUGGGAGAGGAGGAAACAGCUUCUACACAGCUGCCUCUUGCCAACUUGACAAGCUGCAGGAGCUGCUCCUGAUUGGAGGAGAGCAGCGUACUCGGCGUGUGGGUAGCAGAGUUGGGAUUGGUGGAAGAGGACUAUAAAGGAGGAGAGAGACAACAUGCACCAGGAACAUCUAAGAGGAACACCUGAGCAGCCCCCGAGAGAGCCGGCCGGCCGGCGGUGUGCCGCUCCCCUGCGGAAGUGGGGAAAGUGGCAGGGGGAACCGCCCUUCCACGGAGGUGGAAGGGACGGUAGCCAACCCAGGAAGAACCAGCAGCAAACCCGGGGAGGGCCGAGCAGACAAAAGAACAACGCAGUGUCCUGUGUCGUUCCUCCACGAAGAGGGGGAGCGACAUAAUGGUGCCGUGACUUGGAUAGGAAACCUAGGAGGGAAAAAGUGGGAAAAUACCGGAGAGAGAGACUAGCAAAGAGCCUAGGGAAAAGCCAGACGGAAAAGGUGCCGGAAGAAGCUAUCGAAAGCCUAGGCAUAGACUCGGAUAUGGACUGUGGGAAAGAAGUUAGGAUUGAAAGCUAGGAUUGAAAGUGAAAGUGAAAGCAAGAAGAAAUUUAGAGUCGGAUACGGACUAUGGCGGGGAAGCUAGGAGAUUGAAAGCGAAAGUGAAACCUAGAAGAAACUUAGACUCGGAUGCGGACUGUGGGGAGAAGCCAGGAGAAAUGAGACGGGAAUAUUGUUGGAAGAAAAGUUAGGAAACAUACCGGGUAGAGAAAAAUGUUAGGGAGGAUGAAGCCACGGGGGCAGGCUGAGGCGGAGACGUAAGCUAGCUUGGGAUUCGUCAAUUCAGCCCGGGGAGCAAAAGGCGAAAAGCUAAAACGAGAGGCAGAGACACGUAAGCCAGGUUGGAAUCCGUCAGAUUAGCCCGGGGAGCAAAAGACGGGAAGCCAAACCGAAGGGCGCAGACGUGAGCUAGGUUGAAUUUGCCAGGUUAGCCCAGGGAACUUAGACUGAAUACCGGUGGCGGAAACGUGAGCUAGGCUGUGUGAUUCGCGGAAGCCGCCGUGUGCAGAGAGCGCGCGGGGCGCAAGUAGAUAGGGAACGCGGGGCUAGCGCAGAGGCCGUGGUGUGGGCGUGAAGGGCGCAGAGACCGCAGAGCGCACGUGAAGCCGGGAAGCCGCGCAGAGCCGGGAAGCAGCUGCGGGGCGAGGCGCUGAGAAGCAGCCUCGGGGCGGGCGCCGGGAAGCCGCAGGGAUAAGAGAAACAGAAGUUUAGAAGUAAAAUGAGAGAAAUAGGAAUGCUGGCAGAUAGAAGUAAAAUAGGAGAAACAGGAAUGCCCGGAGAUAGAGAAACAGAGAAAAAUAAGGCCUCCCCACAACAUGGCAAUGAGAGGGCUUGGAUUCGGUCUGCCUGAUUAGUGAGGCGAUAAGCACCAGCAGGCAGUUCGACCAGAGUAUGAGCUGCAGGUCACCGAAGAUAGGCACGAAUCAACAUCAAUAAGUCUCCCCACAAUACGGCAACGAGAAGGCUCGGAUUCGGUUUGCCUGAUUGGUAGGGCUUGUAAGCACCUGUAGGCAGUUCUAGCAGAGUAGAGCAUGCGCUGCAGGGCACCGAACACAGGCAGGCAUCAGCGCCUAAAAACCUUCUCACAACAUGGCGAAGAGAGGACCCGGAUUCGGUUUCCCUGACUGGUAGGGCUUGUAAGCACCUGUGGACAACUCUAGCAAGCAGAUCAGAGUGUGUGCCACGGGCCACCGAAGACAGGCGCGUAUCAACGCCAAAAAUAAAAAGAAAGGGGGAUCUGUGGGGAGCAACUCGGACUAGACUGUUACUGGAAUUAAGACUUACUCUAUGCAUCUGCUCUCCUACAAUAUGGCGCUGGGAGAGGAGGAAACAGCUUCUACCCAGCUGCCUCUCGCCAACUUGACAAGCUGCAGGAGCUGCUCCUGAUUGGAGGAGAGCAGCGUACUCGGCGUGUGGGUAGCAGAGUUGGGAUUGGUGGAAGAGGACUAUAAAGGAGGAGAGAGACAACAUGCACCAGGAACAUCUAAGAGGAACACCUGUGCAGCCCCCGAGAGAGCCGGCCGGCCGGCGGUGUGCCGCUCCCCUGUGGAAGUGGGGAAAGUUGCAGGGGGAACCGCCCUUCCACGGAGGUGGAAGGGAUGGUAGCCAACCCGGGAAGAACCAGCAGCAAACCCGGGGAGGGCCGAGCAGACAAAAGAACAACGCAGGGUCCAGUGUCAUUCCUCCACGAAGAGUGGGAGCGACACACCAGAAGUGUGAACUGCUAUCCUCAUGUAGGUGGGUAGUUUAAAACAGCACACACAGUGUUUUCUGAAUGCAAUGUAGCAGGUGUUUCCUUCACUAGACUCCCUUGCAUUGCUGGAAGUUCUUGACUGAAUUUUAGACUUUCCCCCAUUUUGAAGUGAGUAUGUGAUUCUUGCCCUAUUCAAAUCACAGGGUUACAGUGAGACUUUAUUGAGAGAAAGUGAUUUUUAGAAUUACAUUUUCAUGUUGUAUAUACUGCCUAUGUAUCCUCCCAUUGAUUUCUCUUAUUACUCUUGUACCUUUUUUGUGUAUUUAUGUGUAUGUGUGUUGACAUCCAGUAGUUGUGUUGAUUUAUUGUGGGCAGGGCUUAUCUUGUAUCUUCUUGUUUCCUGUGUCUAAGCUAUUGCAAGUUCUAGUUUGCUGAAAUUAUUUUUUAAUAAUAAGAAUGCAUGGAUUUCAAAAAUUUUUGCCUCAAGGUAAACUUAUGUUUCAAUUCCAUCAUCAAUGAACUCUUUUUAUUAAUACAAAGAGAACAGAUUUCUCCUAUUUCAUCAGUACAGUUCUAAGAUAACUGUACUUCUCUCCCUCCCUCUCCUUCCCAGUAUCUCUCCUUCCCUCCCAUCUUUUCAUUAAUUUUUGUGAAAAUGUGAUUUCAACCAUAUGAAUAAUAACACUCUUGAUUCACCACUAACCAUAAUAUUCAGCAAUUAAAAAGUAGGAAGACAGGGCUAGCAUUGUGGCAUCAUUGGUUGAGUUGACACCUGCAACGCUGGGAUCCCAUAUGCUCCACUUCUGAUCCAAUUCUCUGCUAAUGCGCCUGGGAAAGCAGUAAAGGGUGGCCCAAGUCCCUUGGCUUCUUCACCCAUAUGGGAGACAAUGAUGAAGUUCCUGGUUCCUGGUUGCAGUCUGGACCAGCCCCCAGCCAUUGCAGCCAUUUGGGGAAUAAACCAGUGGAUGGAAUAGAUGGAAGAUUUCACCUGUUCCUCCCCCAACCCCUGUAAUUCUUCUUUUUAAAUAGAUAUUUAUAAAUAAUAAAUGGAAAAUAAGAAGUAGGAAGACCACAGUUCCAUAGGAGUGUAAACAAGAGCUAAAAGCAACAAUAAUGUCACAAGAUAUCUGCUUUGUUCUUGUAUGUAUAUUUUUUGUAUUCUAUAUUAACUGCCAUAUCAAAGUAAAUAUGAUAUUUGUCUUUUUGAGACUGCUUAUUUCAUUUAGCAUAAUGGUAUCCAGUUGCAUCUAUUUUGUUGCAAAAGACAGGAUUUCAUUCUUUUUUAUGGCCAAGUGUGUAUAUAUACCAUAUUGUGUAUAUACCAUGUUUUCUUUAUCCAGGCAUCAGUUGAUGGACAUCUGCGUUGAUUCUAUAUGUUAGCUAUUGUGAAUUCAGCUGCAAUAAAGAGAAAGAAGAAUCGGGGUAUAGAGUAUCCAUCCUUCCCAGGAGACGGGCCACUGCCGUGCAGAGGAGCGGGAAUCAGGACUGGAGGAGCAGCUGUCUCCCUCUUGGAAUCAUGGCGCAGGUGUGGAGAAGGAUUUCAGGAUACUUCUGGAACUCCAUCAUUGUUGACAGCUGAAAAGAAGACCAUUACAGAAAAGUAUCCUGAAUUAUCCCCUAGACCCAAGGAAGAUGAAUUGCAUUUCCUUGACUGGGAGCUUGACACUGACAGGGGAGGUGCUGGUGAAUGUUAACGAAUUUGAAGAUGGUGAGGGUGCAGUGGAUAUCUCAGACUGUGCUUCAUGUGCAAGUAGCCAGUCUUUGACGAGAGAUGACAGGCUCUCUGAGUUUCCAAAGGUAAGAAUGGAUCAUUUAAGAAACUUGUAUCCUUUUAUAACCUAUGUUAACCCAUGUUAUUCAAGGCCUUUUGGUGUUUCUCCCACCAUUCCUUCUCAGGGAUCAUCUUUUUCACUAUUAGAGCUUUCUUUUGAGCUCCACACUUUGGUCCUUAAAUCACAUGCUGCUGCUAUGCUUCUCAACAUAAGGAAAUAAUGAGCUCUCUCCCCCCUAACUCUCCACUGCGAACUAGGCAAUGAACUUUGCUGUCCCUCCAGUGCCCUAGUACAGAUAUGUCAGUGUUUGGUUAGUUUAGUAUGCAGCAUUUAGCUCAUUGUGAAUAAGGAAUAUUGAUAACCAAGAACCAUGUUAAUUAUCAUUAUUUUCUUUAACAACUAUUUGUGUUUCUUAGACAAUUACUUGGAUUUUUAAAAAAUGUAUUUGUUUGAAAGGCAGAGAGACACAAAGAUUGCCCAUCCACUGGUUCAUUCCCCAAAUGCUCACAACAGCCAAAGGCUGGGUCAGGCUGAAGCCAGGAGCCUGGAACUCCAUCUGAGUCUUCACUUGUGAGCCAGGGACCCAGGUACUUGAGGCUUCUCCUACUGCCUCUCUGGGUUCACAUGAGCAGUAAACUUGAAUCAGAAUUGGAUCCAGGACUCAAACUCAAGCACUCUAAAAUGGAAUGUAUGCGUCCCCAAGUGGCAUCUUAAACAAUCCAUGAAAUACCUGCUCCCCAUAUUAACUCUUUGCUUAGGUAAUUUUACUGAACAUUAAUGGAAUCCUAAUAUGUCAUCAUUGUCUAACUCUCUCAUGAUCAUUUCUAUACUUCGCAGACUUUCUGUCAAUUUUAUUUUCUUGGUGAAUGUUUCCCUACAACCUCCUGGUUACUCCAAUUUGGAUUCAAGAUCCUAUUCUCUUUGUGAUGUUGUCACUCUGGGGGUCUCUGUUGCCCAUCAUUCUAGGAAUUGGAAUCUUGUUUCCUACAUGGUGCUUCUUUAUCCUGCAUUUCUUGUUUUCCUCUUUCUUGGUUUUCACCCUUGUUUUGGUUGAAUGCAUCUUCUGUUAGCUACUUUUUGUUUGUUUUUGUUUUUAUUUUGUGACAGGCAGAGUGGACAGUGAGAGAGAGACAGAGAGAAAGGUCUUCCCUUUGCCAUUGGUUCACCCUCCAAUGGCCGCCAUGGCCAGUGCACUGAGGCCAGCGCACCGCGCUGAUCUGAUGGCAGGAGCCAGGUACUUAUCCUGGUCUCCCAUGGGGUGCAGAGCCCAAGGACUUGGGCCAUCCUCCACUGCACUCCCUGGCCACAGCAGAGAGCUGGCCUGGAAGAGGGGCAACUGGGACAGAAUCCGGCGCCCUGACCAGGACUAGAACCCGGUGUGCCAGCGCCGCAAGGCAGAGGAUUAGCCUAGUGAGCUGCGGCGCCGGCCUCUGUUAGCUUCUGAGAAACUAUGUAUAGAAUUUUUUUUGAUGCUUGGCAUAUCUAAAUAUCCUUUGAUCUUACUGUACUUUGACAUAUUAUUGAAAAUUUGUAUAAAAUUUUAGUUUCAAAAUAACUUUUUCUCAAGU